rnacentral:rRNA from 1 species
GAUGAACGCUAGCGGGAGGCCUAACACAUGCAAGCCGAGCGGUAUUGUUUCUUCGGAAAUGAGAGAGCGGCGUACGGGUGCGGAACACGUGUGCAACCUGCCUUUAUCUGGGGGAUAGCCUUUCGAAAGGAAGAUUAAUACUCCAUAACAUAUUGAACGGCAUCGUUUGAUAUUGAAAGCUCCGGCGGAUAGAGAUGGGCACGCGCAAGAUUAGCUAGUUGGUGAGGUAACGGCUCACCAAGGCGAUGAUCUUUAGGGGGUGUGAGAGCAUGACCCCCCACACGGGUACUGAGACACGGACCCGACUCCUACGGGAGGCAGCAGUAAGGAAUAUUGGACAAUGGAGGGAACUCUGAUCCAGCCAUGCCGCGUGAAGGAUGAAGGCGCUCAGCGUUGUAAACUUCUUUUGGAUGGGAACAAUAACUUCUACGUGUAGGAGCUUGAGGGUACCAUCAGAAUAAGCACCGGCUAACUCCGUGCCAGCAGCC